CAAAGACUGCCAUGUGGAAAAAGAGUUAAUAAAAUUAUGAGAAAAAAAUCAUUUAAACAAAAUAAUGCUUAAACCAUAAUUUAAAAAAAAAAAACGGAAACUGUAUAACAGUUUUAUUGAGACAAUCCAUGAUUCUCUUCUUUGCCCACGAUCCUUUUUUCUUACUUUAUAAUCUCUCAAAUUCGUUAAACAAACAAUAGAGAAAUUCCCAACUGAUUUGAAACAGAGAAUAUCAAACUCAUUUGAUCCUUCUUUCAUCUGAAAAUCCUAAUUCAUAAUUGGGGCCGUACAUAUGAAAUGUCCCGAGCCAAUGCAGACUUCAACGGAGCACUACAUGGCGAAGAAUAUUUCUUGAAAAAGUGGGUGUGGUGGAUAUGAAUUGCUGGAGAUUCAACCAGAAAAAGAGACUAUAGGAAGAAAAGAGAGAGAAAGAAGAGGAAGAUAAAAAACAUAUGAAACAUGGAAACGUGGUAAUCGAAAAAGGUAAAUACGUUUUAUUAAUUCACCACGAAAGGAUCAGACUGAUAAAUUGUUUUCCUAUUGGUUUAUGCUUGGUCAUAGGGGCGAGAGGAAUGUGAAGUCUUGGAGAUGGAAAAACCGCUGACAUGGGAAGGUUAAUUCAAUUCUAAGACAAAUUAACAGAGGUAUAUUUUAUGGUAACUAUAUUUUUGUUAUCUUACCAUUUAGACAAAAAACUAUAUUUUUUAUUAUUGCAGUGGUUUUUUUUUGCUUAAUAUUACUGCAGUCUUGCAAUACACAAUUUGUUUUUUUUUUUAUGUUCGGCAUAACAAUACACAUGCAAUGAUAAAUAUGUUAUUUUC